rnacentral:rRNA from 3 species
AGAACGACUCUCGGCAACGGAUAUCUCGGCUCUCGCAUCGAUGAAGAACGUAGCGAAAUGCGAUACUUGGUGUGAAUUGCAGAAUCCCGUGAACCAUCGAGUCUUUGAACGCAAGUUGCGCCCGAAGCCUUCUGGCCGAGGGCACGUCUGUCUGGGCAUCACGC